rnacentral:rRNA from 1 species
AACGAACGCUGGCGGCGUGCUUAAGACAUGCAAGUCGAACGGUAAGGCCGAUCUUUCUUCGGAUUGAUUGGUACACGAGUGGCGCACGGGUGAGUAACGCGUGGGUAACCUACCCUCAGGUCUGGGACAACUCCGGGAAACUGGAGCUAAUACCGGAUAAGACCACAGAGUCCUCGGACUCAGUGGAAAAAGAUGGCCUCUUCUUGAAAGCUAUUGCCUGUCGAUGAGCCCGCGUACCAUUAGCUUGUUGGUGAGGUAACGGCUCACCAAGGCGACGAUGGUUAGCUGGUCUGAAAGGAUGAUCAGCCACACUGGAACUGAGACACGGUCCAGACUCCUACGGGAGGCAGCAGUCGGGAAUCUUGGGCAAUGGGGGAAACCCUGACCCAGCAACGCCGCGUGAGGGAUGAAGGCCCUCGGGUCGUAAACCUCUGUCGGGAGGGAAGAAUUGCACUCGGUCUAAUAUCCUGGGUGUUUGACGGUACCUCCAAAGGAAGCGCCGGCUAACUCCGUGCCAGCAGCCGCGGUAAUACGGAGGGCGCAAGCGUUGUUCGGAAUUAUUGGGCGUAAAGCGCGUGUAGGUGGCUUGGAAAGUUGGGUGUGAAAGCCCGGGGCCCAACCCCGGAAAUGCACUCAAAACUUCCUCGCUAGAGUCUCGGAGAGGAAAGCGGAAUUCCCGGUGUAGAGGUGAAAUUCGUAGAUAUCGGGAGGAACACCAGUGGCGAAGGCGGCUUUCUGGACGAUGACUGACACUGAGACGCGAAAGCGUGGGGAGCAAACAGGAUUAGAUACCCUGGUAGUCCACGCCGUAAACGUUGUGUGCUAGGUGUCGCGGGUAUUGACCCCUGCGGUGCCGUCGUUAACGCAUUUAGCACACCGCCUGGGGAGUACGGCCGCAAGGCUAAAACUCAAAGGAAUUGACGG